rnacentral:lncRNA from 1 species
GCUGCUCUUAUUGAUCGUAUAGGGUAUUGAAAUUUAAUAUUGUUAAAUUGAUAGUUCAUAUCUCUCAUUAAUAUAACUUUUAUGUCUAUAAUAUUCUCUCACUUAUUCUUUUUUGCAUGUGUUAGUAGGUCAACAUCUGGCUCAUGUAAUUGAGCUUGAAGUUGUUCCAUCUUUUGUGCCUCUCUUUUAAGGGAUAAUUCUCACUUUUUGGUAUUCUUCAAUGGGAAGCAAUACAACUUUUGGA